GAUGAACGCUAGCGGCAGGCCUAAUACAUGCAAGCCGAACGGUAAUUCUGAUAGCAAUAUUGGAACUAGAGUGGCGUAAGGGUGCGUAACACGUAUGCAAUCUACCCGCAACAGGAGGAUAGCUCCCCGAAAGGGGAAUUAACCCUCCAUGAGAUCACACGAGGGCAUCCGAGAGUGAUUAAAUUUGAGGAGGUUGUGGAUGAGCAUGCGACUGAUUAGCUAGUUGGCAGUGUAACGGACUACCAAGGCGAUGAUCAGGUAGGGGAACUGAGAGGUUNACUCCCCCANACUGGCACUGAGAUAC
rnacentral:rRNA from 1 species